AGCGUAGACGGAAUGGCAAGUCUGAUGUGAAAGCCCGGGGCUCAACCCCGGGACUGCUUUUGAAACUGUGGAACUGGAGUGCAGGAGAGGUAAGUGGAAUUCCUAGUGUAGCGGUGAAAUAGCGUAGAUAUUAGGAGGAACACCAGUGGCGAAGGCGGCUUACUGGACUGUAACUGACACUGAAGCACGAAAGCAUGGGUAGGCAAACA
rnacentral:rRNA from 1 species